GACAGUGGUGUGGCAGACGGGUGAGUAACGCGUGGGACAUACCCUUUCCUGCGGAAUAGCUCCGGGAAACUGGAAUUAAUACCGCAUACGCCCUACGGGGGAAAGAUUUAUCGGGGAAGGAUUGGCCCGCGUUGGAUUAGCUAGUUGGUGGGGUAAAGGCCUACCAAGGCGACGAUCCAUAGCUGGUCUGAGAGGAUGAUCAGCCACAUUGGGACUGAGACACGGCCCAAACUCCUACGGGAGGCAGCAGUGGGGAAUAUUGGACAAUGGGCGCAAGCCUGAUCCAGCCAUGCCGCGUGAGUGAUGGAGGGCUUAGGGUUGUAAAGCUCUUUCACCGAUGAAAAUAAUGACGGGAGUCGGAGAAGAAGCCCCGGCUAACUUCGUGCCAGCAGCCGCGGUAAUACGAAGGGGGCUAGCGUUGUUCGGAAUUACUGGGCGUAAAGCGCACGUAGGCGGAUAUUUAAGUCAGGGGUGAAAUCCCGCAGCUCCACUGCGGAACUGCCUUUGAUACUGGGUAUCUUGAGUAUGGAAGAGGUAAGUGGAAUUCCCAGUGUAGAGGUGAAAUUCGUAGAUAUUCGGAGGAACACCAGUGGCGAAGGCGGCUUACUGGUCCAUUACUGACGCUGAGGUGCGAAAGCGUGGGGAGCAAACAGGAUUUAGAUACCCCUGGUAGUCCACGCCCGUAAACGAUGAAUGGUUAGCCGUCCGGGCAGUAUUACUGUUCCGGUGGGCGCAGCCUAACGCCAUUUAUACAUUUCCGCCCUGGGGGAAGUACGGUCGCAAGAUUAAAACUCAUAGGAAUUGACGGGGGGCCCGCCACCAGCGCUGGAGCAUGUGGUUUAAUUUCGUAGCGAACGCGCAGGAACAUUACCAGCCUCUCGCCAUCAACGCAUGGGGCAAUAGUGAACGAAUGGAUUCAUUCUC
rnacentral:rRNA from 1 species